CGACUAAAUGCACAUAAUGGGUCAUUAUUUAAUAUUUUAUUUAAACAAUCCAAGUCAAUUGUAGGAACCAAAACAGAGAAGCAUAGGGUGACAUUUUGGGGAAGGACUCUAACUUCGGCUUGUUCAUAUCAUCCAUUUUGAAGGCAGAAGGGCCUUUUCCCAUUCUUGGCAUGCUAGAAAAAUGAGAAUGAUUCAUGCAAGGGAUCUAAUAUGUCUGGAAAUCUGAUUCCUGCCGGUCAGAGAAUACAAUAUAGAGCUAAGUAGAUUGAUGGCUGAAUUUGGCAUCAAACGAUCUACAAUUUUCUUAAGAUGUCAUAGUCAUUUAUAACUGUGUAGUAAAGGGUUUAUUUUAUUUCCAUCCUCAAGACAGCAGAAGAACACAUCACUUCCAUAACUGCUGGCUCCACAGUGUUCUUUCUAGGCCUCCAAAACAUGGCCAAUAAAAUGGCUGUCCUCCCAUAAGAGCUGGGAUAGCCCCUCUCAAAAUUUGCUGUGAAAAAAGCAAGGAGAUAAGGAUUGCUACAGCAAUGAGGGAAGAGAAGGGAGGGCAGUCACUCCAGUCUCCUGGGGUUUUUCUUUCUCCGGUAGGAGCACAGACUGCUGGUAAAAUUUAUAGUAUAACCUUGACACUUUUUCUUCACUCUAAUAGGCUGAAGGGCAAGAAGGUCAUAGCAAUACAGUGUAGACCAUGAUUCCUACCUAAGCCCCCCACUCCCAAAGGAAAAAAAAAUUGUUACUGGUUACAUUCUGCUCUUUCCAGCAGCUAGAACAGCAGAGGUUCCCAGGGAGCCAGUUGGAGCCCUGCAAGAUCCUCAUCUCUUUUCUUCAAAUGAACCGGAGUGUUUGUAUAAGACAUUGUGUUGCAUUUUCUGCUGGAUCAUUUUGAGCUGGCUUCACUCUGCCUCAAGGGAAGUUCAGCCCUGAGAUGAAGUCUCUGUGGUGAGGACAUGUCCUCAGGAAAAAAAUGGAAGGUGAAUUCUGUCAAGAAUAUGCAUGCUGACAACCUGAAAUGCAAAAUUUGACAGCAUGGAGGAUAUUUAAUUCAUGGCCACAGUCUAUAAGCGUAACAUAUCAAAGAUCCUACAAGGCUAUUUUGAAGAAAACAUAUCAUUGUAUUGCUCACAGUUGCAAACGCUCAUGGGUUUGCAUGAGUCCUAACAUGGUUCAUUCACCUUGAAGAUCUCCAAGGGUGACCACAGACAAAAGCCCAUUCUUGUAUCUGAGGCAGUAAUCCCUCCAUCAAGAUAUAAACAUCUUCACUUGAAAUUGUUAUGGACUGAGAAAGAUAUGAAAGGAGGACUUUUUAAUAUCCAUGUGUUUUAGGCUCAUUCAGAGAUUUUUAAAAGAUGCAUAAUCGGGAGAAUUAAAAAAAAUGAAAAAGCAAUGAAGUUGCUGUGGAAAAUCUGAAAAAAUUGCUGAUCCAAUUCCAUAUUUUUAAAUACUCAGUUAUCCCAAGCAAACAUAUAUACAAGUGGCCAAGAUAAACAUGAAGCAAAUAAAAAUGAAGCUAAAACCAACUCCUGCAACAAUAUAAAAGUUAUCAUGCAUCAGUAGUUUUCCUUUCAUGAUUUGGCCGCAAGAAACAUUAGUAUGUUUCUGCUCAAAGUUUUUCAUGACAUUUGCCAAUUACGGCAAUGUUACAAGACAUUUGACUUCAUUUUCAAAUCUUAUUGAUUGAAUAAGUACCAAGCCAUCUCUUGGGGUGUGCUAAGGAUGACUUCAUUGUUAAGUAGGUGAAAUAUCACUGUGUGGUCAUGCUGAGCAUAGCUGUAAAUAAGACUUCUGUAGCGAUAUCUGCCUGGGUUGCUUUAGUAAGAAAGAGAUAUUUUGGCCUUUGGAUUCCCCAUUUCUGAAACUCUGAUCUCACUUGUCUAGCCUUCAGUCACCGUGAUAUCCAAAAUCUUUUUCAACUCGCUUCCUUGAUCUUAUGGGACCUUUCCCAAGCCACGUGCUGUUUUUUUCCCCAUUCAUCUAUAAAGACAGCAUCUGUUGAAAGACUACAAGCUCAGUGGCCGUCUGGCUUCCUGAAUUGGUAUGAUUUGACUUUGAUGUGCCUCUGAUACCUAGCUACUCUGCGAUUUCUAUUUCUCUCUUGUCAAAAGAUACCUCACAAUAAUUUGAUCGAUCCACUGAUGCUGCUCUGAUAUUUACUAAGUGCCCCCAAGCCUUUAAUCUUCUACUAUCACUUUAAUCUCUUACACUAACCCUUGUUCAUUCCAUGCCUCCUUUCAUCUGCAUCACUUUUGCUAUCCUGGCAUUUACCUCCACUUUUCUGACUCUGAACUUAAACCAGCCUGUGUAAUUUGCAAUGUCCUCUUUUCUUUUUUUUCCUUGAAAUAGUAGUGGAUGCCUAGAAGAACACCAUGAACCAA